rnacentral:rRNA from 1 species
CCUACGGGAGGCAGCAGUGGGGAAUCUUAGACAAUGGGCGCAAGCCUGAUCUAGCCAUGCCGCGUGAGCGAUGAAGGCCUUAGGGUUGUAAAGCUCUUUCACCGAUGAAGAUAAUGACGGUAGUCGGAGAAGAAGCCCCGGUUAACUUCGUGCCAGCAGCCGCGGUAAU